GAUGAACGCUGGCGGCGUGCCUAACACAUGCAAGUCGAGCGAUUCUCUUCGGAGAAGAGCGGCGGACGGGUGAGUAACGCGUGGGUAACCUGCCCUGUACACAUGGAUAACAUACCGAAAGGUAUGCUAAUACGAGAUAAUAUACUUUUAUCGCAUGGUAGAAGUAUCAAAGCUCCGGCGGUACAGGAUGGACCCGCGUCUGAUUAGCUAGUUGGUAAGGUAACGGCUUACCAAGGCGACGAUCAGUAGCCGACCUGAGAGGGUGAUCGGCCACAGUGGAACUGAGACACGGUCCAAACUCCUACGGGAGGCAGCAGUGGGGAAUAUUGCACAAUGGGCGAAAGCCUGAUGCAGCAACGCCGCGUGAGCGAUGAAGGCCUUCGGGUCGUAAAGCUCUGUCCUCUAGGAAGAUAAUGACGGUACUUGAGGAGGAAGCCCCGGCUAACUACGUGCCAGCAGCCGCGGUAA
rnacentral:rRNA from 1 species